CUAAAUGACUAACAGGCAAUUUUAUCGCCAUCAAAAAGAUUCGGCGGCAAAAGGUCACAUCCGAGUCCACAAUCCGGCUCGGCGGCAUCCUCAUUUUAGCGCCGUUGGUUGGCUGAGCUCGGACGACCGCUCGAUCGAUUGCUUUGGUCUGGCGUCGCCGAAUGGCCCGCCGGGACAGCGCCAAGCUCGACCAUUUGUGUUCCAAUUUUUGUCCGUCCGAACGCCACCCGUUUUUUUUUUUUUUGCUUGAGUUUCGACGUAACACAACCCGCCGAAAAGAGGACCGAAGCUUCCUCUUAUGCUACUAGCCGAGCCUAGCAUCACGAAACAACUUCCGUCCCGUCAAGACAGAAAUCGACAAAAUGGCGGCGCAUUCACACGCCAGAACUCUCCUUGGACCACGUUGGACUCUCCGAACGGGCGCCCGCCUUCGCGGCUCCGUCCGCACUUGCUCUUUCGGCGGAUGUCGCGAAAACCUGCCAGCGCCUUCCCGCCGUCAAUCAAAGCGAGCAGGACUUUCACGGUCGAGCAGAAGCCUCUUCAGUUGACGUGGCGCAUCGGUGUCGGGAGCUUCACGGGCGGCUUGCCGUCAAUCGCCCGCUGGUCUUUCGGGGCGUUGGCGCGCAAGGCAAAACCAACUGUGGCACAUUCCUGUGACGCAUCAGCGCCGGAGUAAAUCGGACCAUCAUGGCUUCAUUCACAUUGGAACAAAGCGCGGCCCAAUCAAGUCUGAAAAAUGAGUCACUCCAAGGCGUUUUCGCUGCAGAGUAAACCGUGCAGAAAGUGCCAUUCAUCAAGCGGCUCGGCGACCUGUUGUUUCUGCACACACAGAAAAAGAAGAGCCGGUUUGGAGCGCCGCUGUUGAUUUUUGGCCCGCACACAGCGAUUUCCACUUCAGGCCAAACUGCUCUCCCGGAUCAGAGAGGAAGCCAGUUCACCUUAACAAGGCGGCGCCAGCUCCUGUCUGCGUUCCGCACUUCUCAGCUCCGCCAUUGGCCGGGCCGCCAGCGGAGGAG